rnacentral:rRNA from 1 species
GUGUCAGCCGCCGCGGUAAUACAGAGGUGGCAAGCGUUGUUCGGAUUUAUUGGGCGUAAAGGGUCCGUAGGCGGUCCGGAAAGUCAGAUGUGAAAUCCCGCAGCUCAACUGCGGAACUGCAUUUGAAACUUCCGGACUAGAGUGUGGAAGGGGUGAAGGGAAUUCCCGGUGUAAGGGUGAAAUCUGCAGAGAUCGGGAGGAACACCAGUCGCGAAGGCGCUUCACUGGUCCACUACUGACGCUCAGGGACGAAAGCCAGGGGAGCAAACGGGAUUAGAAACCCCAGUAGUCC